rnacentral:rRNA from 1 species
GCCUAAUACAUGCAAGUAGAACGCUGAAGAGAGGAGCUUGCUCUUCUUGGAUGAGUUGCGAACGGGUGAGUAACGCGUAGGUAACCUGCCUUGUAGCGGGGGAUAACUAUUGGAAACGAUAGCUAAUACCGCAUAACAAUGGAUGACACAUGUCAUUUAUUUGAAAGGGGCAAAUGCUCCACUACAAGAUGGACCUGCGUUGUAUUAGCUAGUAGGUGAGGUAACGGCUCACCUAGGCGACGAUACAUAGCCGACCUGAGAGGGUGAUCGGCCACACUGGGACUGAGACACGGCCCAGACUCCUACGGGAGGCAGCAGUAGGGAAUCUUCGGCAAUGGGGGCAACCCUGACCGAGCAACGCCGCGUGAGUGAAGAAGGUUUUCGGAUCGUAAAGCUCUGUUGUAAGUCAAGAACGAGUGUGAGAGUGGAAAGUUCACACUGUGACGGUAGCUUACCAGAAAGGGACGGCUAACUACGUGCCAGCAGCCGCGGUAAUACGUAGGUCCCGAGCGUUGUCCGGAUUUAUCGGGCGUAAAGCGAGCGCAGGCGGUUUGAUAAGUCUGAAGUUAAAGGCUGUGGCUCAACCAUAGUUCGCUUUGGAAACUGUCAAACUUGAGUGCAGAAGGGGAGAGUGGAAUUCCAUGUGUAGCGGUGAAAUGCGUAGAUAUAUGGAGGAACACCGGUGGCGAAAGCGGCUCUCUGGUCUGUAACUGACGCUGAGGCUCGAAAGCGUGGGGAGCGAACAGGAUUAGAUACCCUGGUAGUCCACGCCGUAAACGAUGAGUGCUAGGUGUUGGAUCCUUUCCGGGAUUCAGUGCCGCAGCUAACGCAUUAAGCACUCCGCCUGGGGAGUACGACCGCAAGGUUGAAACUCAAAGGAAUUGACGGGGGCCCGCACAAGCGGUGGAGCAUGUGGUUUAAUUCGAAGCAACGCGAAGAACCUUACCAGGUCUUGACAUCCCGAUGCUAUUUCUAGAGAUAGAAAGUUACUUCGGUACAUCGGUGACAGGUGGUGCAUGGUUGUCGUCAGCUCGUGUCGUGAGAUGUUGGGUUAAGUCCCGCAACGGGCGCAACCCCUAUUGUUAGUUGCCAUCAUUCAGUUGGGCACUCUAGCGAGACUGCCGGUAAUAAACCGGAGGAAGGUGGGGAUGACGUCAAAUCAUCAUGCCCCUUAUGACCUGGGCUACACACGUGCUACAAUGGUUGGUACAACGAGUUGCGAGUCGGUGACGGCAAGCUAAUCUCUUAAAGCCAAUCUCAGUUCGGAUUGUAGGCUGCAACUCGCCUACAUGAAGUCGGAAUCGCUAGUAAUCGCGGAUCAGCACGCCGCGGUGAAUACGUUCCCGGGCCUUGUACACACCGCCCGUCACACCACGAGAGUUUGUAACACCCGAAGUCGGUGAGGUAACCUUUUGGAGCCAGCCGCCUAAGGUGGGAUAGAUGAUUGGGGUGAAGUCGU